GCGGACGUAGUGCACGGGGCACCGCUGCAUUCCAUACCUUGUAUCGAAGAAAAUUGCAGCAGUAGAUGGGGUUCGACUCCCCGCGUCCGUA